rnacentral:ncRNA from 1 species
CAAAGGCAUGGUCCCGACCUUAUUAUCAGCUCUCACCCGACUUACACAUGCAAGUCUCCGCAGCCCUGUGAGUAUGCCCUCAAUCCCCUGUCCGGGGACGAGGAGCGGGUAUCAGGCACAAGUUUUUAGCCCAAGACACCUAGCCUUGCCACACCCCCAAGGGAAUUCAGCAGUGAUAAAUAUUAAGCCAUAAGUGAAAACUUGACUUAGUCAGGGUUAAGAGGGCCGGUAAAACUCGUGCCAGCCACCGCGGUUAGACGAGAGGCCCAAGUUGAUAGUACGCGGCGUAAAGGGUGGUUAAGGGUUGUAAACAAUAAAGCCGAAUGGCCCUUUGGCUGUUAAACGCUUCUGGGUGCCUGAAGCCCAACAUACGAAAGUAGCUUUAAAAUAGUUCACCUGACCCCACGAAAGCUGAGAACCAAACUGGGAUUAGAUACCCCACUAUGCUCAGUCGUAAACUUAGACGUCCAAUUACAAUAGACGUUCGCCCGGGUACUACGAGCAUUAGCUUGAAACCCAAAGGACCUGACGGUGCCUUAGACCCCCCUAGAGGAGCCUGUUCUAGAACCGAUAACCCUCGUUAAACCUCACCACUUCUAGCCGCCCCAGCCUAUAUACCGCCGUCGUCAGCUCACCCUGUGAAGGUCAUAAAAGUAAGCAAGAUGGGCAUAGCCCAAAACGUCAGGUCGAGGUGUAGCGUAUGAAGUGGGAAGAAAUGGGCUACAUUUUCUAUAGUAGAAUAUUACGGAUAUGCAACAUGAAAUGGUGCUUGAAGGAGGAUUUAGUAGUAAAAAGGAAGCAGAGUGUCCUUUUGAACCCGGCUCUGAGGCGCGUACACACCGCCCGUCACUCUCCCCUGUCAAAAUGCAAAACAGAUACCUAAUACCAGCGCGCAGACGAGGGGAGGCAAGUCGUAACAUGGUAAGUGUACCGGAAGGUGUACUUGGAUUAACCC